UCCCUGCUUUUUAGAGCAUCUUCUAAGGUAAAUCUGACGAGUCGCGCGUGCGCAAAUCUUCCAGCCCCCCUUUCGUUCCCCCGAAUGAGGCGAGGAGGCCUCCUUUCCUAUCUCGGUCGGGAGACAUCCGCCGAUCGAAAGAGGCGGCGCUGUUGAGGUCGCGGCUGGUGUUCGGUGCGGGCGGGCGUAGGAAGGAGGAAAAGGCAGGCGGCGGGCGAGCGAGCGGCUCCAUCCCCCACCCGCAGGGAGGGAGGGAGUGCGGCAGCGGCGGCGCAGACAGGCCCGACGAGGCGGAGGCGAAGGAGGCGCAGUUCGAGUGACCCCCGGCCGCGGCGGCCACCCACCACCACCACCACCACCACCCGCACCGCCACGCUCUCCCCGCGCAGAAGGCAGGAUGGCGCUGAAACGCAUCAACAAGAAAGCAGUGGAAGAUAUUGUUAUUUUUGCGUGGCAAGUGUCCCAAUCAUUUGUGAUUUUAACUGGAGCUGAAAUCUUCAUUACUUCUCUUGGAUUUCAAACUGUUGGGUUUUGUUUGGCCACUAAGUUUUUUGGCUGUAGCAGUUCAAAUUGUUGCUACCUUGAUGAUUGGUUCUGGCUUUCAUUGGAAGGAAAAAUUACUUAUUCCACUGGCAUGGAUCCUGAAAGCAACUGUCCAGUUCCAUCAGACAAUUUCCGAGGCCGAGGUAUGAUCAGCAAGUGGUUUUUCCCCCUGGUCACAUGAUCAAUCAAAACCAUGGAUUUUAUAGCCUGCGCAUGGGGAUUUCUCCUCAUUGCUGCCAGGUAGAAAACUGGAGGAGUGAGUUUCUCGUUGCUGCCCUUGUUGCUUCUCGUAGCUGUGGUCCUUCGGAUGGAGCACUACAGUUGCCUUUGGAUUGUUUUGCCUGAUCAUAUUCCAUCUUAAGAACUGUGGAAGGAGAACUUGACUUGAGAGACUAAAUUCCACAGCCUUAAUCCAUGAAGGAUCAAUGGAAGCCUUGAGGAAAAAAGCCGUUCUUUCAUUUCAGUUAUCAUCAUGGGUAAUUUACUGGAUUCAGAAAUAUCACAGCCAUCUACAGAAAGAAAGAAUGGACGAAUAGCAAGAUAUCCCAGCAGAGCAAGGACACCCAGGAAAGGCAAUAACCGCAGCCAUUCUGAAACUGAGCACAUGCCAUAAGCAUGUUAUAGAACAGCAUUCUGCAGUAACCAUUAUACAAACAUACACAAACAUUUGCUCUCUUGUUAAUUAUCCCAGGGCCACGACUAGCAUUCCCAAGGAUUGGGAAUGGUUAGGAAGAAAAAAAAAAUGUGUGAAACACAUUGAUCUUAUCAGUUUUGAAUCAGCACACUUUCAGUCCCAUAAUUUUGUACUAUGCAAACUGCUUUGCUUAAUGACAAAGGUGCUGGUCUCAAUUGUGGUCACUAAACAAGGACUACCUAUACAUCUAAUACAGUGUCUUGAAUGGGGACAGAUAUUUCCCUCUCCCAGGCAGUCACAUCUCUUGUGCAGAGAACAGAUGCAAAUUGCAGAAUGAUACCAAUUUAAGUAUAAAAAGCAGAGUCAUUUUGGGAUGAUAUGGUAUAUUUCAGUAGAAUUCUUUGGAACAGAACCAGGAAACGAGAGCAAGCAGGUAUAACAGAGAGCACAAUGCAAUGCCAAAGAAGUCUUUCUUGCUUCAUCUUGCAUCCAAAUGAAGUGGAAAUCAAUUUUUACACUUUCUGCUGAAGCCCAACAUUAAUUAACAAGGAAGAAGUAGGAAAGGAAAAUAUAAAAACAGAUAAUUCAAGCUGGAUCUGCCGAAAGAAGAUCCAGUAUAUCCUUUCAAGUUGUAUUUUGCUGCUGCUUUCCUUUGGUCCUCAGAACACAUUGGAUUGGGCUAAAAAGGGACCAAAUAGUUUGUGAUUCAGCAUACUUUUUGUUUCAUUGCUUUAAUAUGUAAAUUGGAAAGAAAGCAAAGAAGGGACUCACAAAGACAGAACAAAGGGAAAAAAAGCACAUCACGUUUCACAUGAAUCAUUCCACUAAAUUUUAAACGUAUCAUACCUAAUUUCACAGAAUAAAGAUAAGUUUUUCCUUUGCAUCUAUAUAAAGUGAGUUUAUAAAUAGAAUGGGUCAUAGAGAUCCACAAUUAUAAAUUUGGGAUUGCAGUAUCUUUCUAAUUACCCAUUCUUUCUCCAAAGAUAAGACCCUGUCUUAUAUUUUUUUGUACCCCGAAAUAAGCGUUUGGCCUUAUUUUCGGGGAGGUCUUAUUAUUUGGGGGCGUGUGGAGCAAGAUGGGGCUCAUCUUGCCGUCUAACCUGAUUUCCAGGUCUGCAUUUAAAUAUUUUCGGGGAGGGCUUAUUUUAGCACAUGCGCUCAAAAGCCCUAAUUGGGCUUAUUAUCAGGGGAUGUUUUAUUUUCGGGGAAACAGGGUAUGUCUUCUUCAUUCUUUCUCCAUGUUCAAUAAAUCUAAUUCUUUAUAUAAAAUACAUAUUCCAAAUAUUUGGUAUGAUUUAAAUGUAGAUGCGGCUAAUGCGGAAUUGUGAAAUGUUUUCAUAAAACAUUCUGCCUCUUUUUAAGGUUAGAUAAUCCAAAUUCAUCUUGCAGUAACUGAAAGUUUAAAAACCUGAUUACUAAUAAAAUAAUCUAAAAUAUUAAUACCUUUUCUCAUAACUCCUCCUUGCCUUCCCAAAGUGAUUUGCCUGCAAUUUUUAGAUUGGGUUUAUCACAUAUUGUACGUGGAUCAUGUGAGUAAAGGCUGAAAUUAUACUUUUCCUUGUAUAUUCUAAUGUUUUCUAAAAUGUAUCUUAACUGCAGCCUUUACUAUGGAAAACACAAUAGAACUAUGGGAAAAAAAGGAAGCCAAGGUAUUGAGAUGGUGUGAGAGUCAAUAAAUAACUUUCUAAUGUG